rnacentral:rRNA from 1 species
GUGUCAGCAGCCGCGGUAAUACGGAGGAUCCUAGCGUUAUCCGGAAUUAUUGGGUUUAAAGGGUCCGUAGGCGGCUUGAUAAGUCAGCGGUGAAAGUUUUUGGCUUAACCAAAAAAUUGCCGUUGAUACUGUUUAGCUUGAAUAAUUGUGAAGUAACUAGAAUAUGUAGUGUAGCGGUGAAAUGCUUAGAUAUUACAUGGAAUACCAAUUGCGCAGGCAGGUUACUAAUAAUUUAUUGACGCUGAUGGACGAAAGCGUGGUUAGCGAACGGGAUUAGAUACCCCGGUAGUCCACGCCGUAAACGAUGGAUACUAGUUGUUGGAUUUUCGGAUUCAGUGACUAAGCGAAAGUGAUAAGUAUCCCACCUGGGGAGUACGUUCGCAAGAAUGAA